AGAGAUGGUCGGACUGUAGAAGCGUGUUCUCUGCGGUGGUUCUAAAGCUGUCAUCUGGCCAACAACCUGCAGGAGUACACUAAGGAGUCAGUCUGACAGCGGUAGCCAUGUUGGGAUCUGGUGUUGUUGGAAACACUUGAGCUUACUGGCACCCAGUGGCGAGCGGAGGGACUGCGUCCACUUGAUGCUUGGCCGACAGCAGGGGAGAUAGAGAACUGUUUACAAGUGGCAUUUGCCCCUAAUUAAAAGCUGCACUUGGAGCACUUUUAUCUACAGAAGGACUAUCAUCCACAGUGAUGCAAGCUGGGCCACUGAUCUGCCUACAUGGAGGACAAAUUCUCAGCCCG